GCUGGGCGUGGUGGCAUGCACCUGUAGUCCCAGGUACUCAGGAGGCUGAGGCAGGAGAGUUGCUUGAACCUGGGAGGUGGAAGGUUGCAGCAAGGCGAGAUGGUGCUACUGCACUCCAGCCUGAGCGACAGAGACUCCACUUUGGAAAAAAAAAAAAGAGUUAAGAUUUUUUUUGAGACAGUCUUGCUCUAUCACCCACGCUGGAGUGCAGUGGCACAAUAUCGACUCAUGGCAACCUCCGCCUCCCAGGUUCAAGCAAUUCUCCUGCCUCA
rnacentral:sRNA from 1 species